rnacentral:rRNA from 1 species
AUGCAUUUGCUACUACGAACAAGAGAACAACUGCAGGAUUCAAUUCGGUACAACAGCAUCACCGAUGCAGACGACAUGGGGUUCAUCGUGCCAGGCACCUCGGUGUUGCUUCCAUGCGACGGCGGCAGCAGCUACAGAAACAACCACGAUGAACCCCUCUCCUUGCCUCCAGUGCUUGCUCUCAGCUCGUCGUGGCCAUCCUGCCAAGGCUAUGUCUGCAAACCCAGAGGCUGGGAUGCACACACCCGAAGGUCACCCUCAUCACCUCCUUCCCUUGCCCUGCUCCCCAAUUCGACGGCAAGGUCGCAGAGUAGCAGCACCCACGACCACCCUCCUCGGUCCUCCGCAUAUCUCAUACAUGAUUUAUGCUUUACGUGGUAUUGUAUGAUGUGCUAUGGAAGUAUAGGAAUUUGUUUGCAGCCCCCUUCAGAUCUAGGUAAAAAAAUACAAGUUUUACUUGCAAUUGUUAUUGUUAGUGCUCAAGAGAUUAUAUGA